ensembl:lncRNA
GGGUACCGGUACAGAGUCAAUGUGGAGGCUAUAUACAAGGGGUACCGGUACAGAGUCAAUGUGGAGGCUAUAUACAGGGUGUUACGGUACAGAGUCAAUGUGGAGACUAUAUACAGGGGGUACCGGUACAGAGUCAAUGUGGAGACUAUAUACAGGGGGUACCGGUACAGAGUCAAUGUGGAGGCUAUAUACAGGGGGUACCGGUACAGAGUCAAUGUGGAGACUAUAUACAGGGGGUACCAGAACAGAGUCAAUGUGGAGGCUAUAUACAGGGGGUACCGGUACAGAGUCAAUGUGGAGGCUAUAUACAGGGUGUACCAGUACAGAGUCAAUGUGGAGGCUAUAUACAGGGUGUUACGGUACAGAGGCAAUGUGGAGGCUAUAUACAGGGGGUACCGGUACAGAGUCAAUGUGGAGACUAUAUACAGGGGUACCAGAACAGAGUCAAUGUGGAGGCUAUAUACAGGGUGUUACGGUACAGAGUCAAUGUGGAGGCUAUAUACAGGGGGUACCGGUACAGAGUCAAUGUGGAGGCUAUAUACAGGGGGUACUGGUACAGAGUAAAUGAGGAGGCUAUAUACAGGGGGGGUACUGGUACAGAGUCA